CCGAUAAGGGCGCUGAAGUAGUGAAUCUAUCGGCACCACAGCAGUGGCAUACAACUUUGGGCCUAAGGGCCGGCCCCCUUACCCUUCGGAAUGGGGGAUCCCCGUUGGCAACAACCACGGUAGUAGUUGCGGAACUACUGGGCCGGGAGAGGAGCGGAAAGCCACUUGACUGUAAGGAGAGGACAACCUCUUGUUCCUGCUCCUCUUUCUUCGCUUCGGG
rnacentral:misc_RNA from 1 species